rnacentral:rRNA from 1 species
CACGUAGGGUGCAAGCGUUGUCCGGAAUUAUUGGGCGUAAAGAGCUCGUAGGCGGCUUGUCGCGUCGACUGUGAAAACCUAGGGCUCAACCCUGGGCCUGCAGUCGAUACGGGCAGGCUUGAGUGUGGUAGGGGAGACUGGAACACCUGGUGUAGCGGUGAAAUGCGCAGAUAUCAGGUAGAACACCGGUGGCGAAGGCAGGUCUCUGGGCCACUACU